GAUGAACGCUGACAGAAUGCUUAACACAUGCAAGUCAACUUGAAUUUGGGUUUUUAACUUAGGUUUGGGUGGCGGACGGGUGAGUAACGCGUAAAGAACUUGCCUCACAGCUAGGGACAACAUUUGGAAACGAAUGCUAAUACCUAAUAUUAUGAUAAUAGGGCAUCCUAUAAUUAUGAAAGCUAUAGGCGCUGUGAGAGAGCUUUGCGUCCCAUUAGCUAGUUGGAGAGGUAACGGCUCACCAAGGCGAUGAUGGGUAGCCGGCCUGAGAGGGUGAUCGGCCACAAGGGGACUGAGACACGGCCCUUACUCCUACGGGAGGCAGCAGUGGGGAAUAUUGGACAAUGGACCGAGAGUCUGAUCCAGCAAUUCUGUGUGCACGAUGAAGUUUUUCGGAAUGUAAAGUGCUUUCAGUUGGGAAGAAACAAAUGACGGUACCAACAGAAGAAGUGACGGCUAAAUACGUG
rnacentral:rRNA from 1 species